rnacentral:lncRNA from 1 species
AGCAGUUUAAAAUAAAUUCCAGUAGAGACCUUGCAUGUUAUUCAGCUUGUACAAAAUCACUCUUUACUUCAACAUUUUUAUCUUCGUAUCAUUCUAUUAGAUAAAAAAUAUUUUUUAUCAAACACGUUGAAUUUGUUACAAGGUCUAUUGUCUGAUAGACAAAAUGAACUGUAAAGUUAUACAUAUAUGCACAACAAGAAUUGAAGGACGAGCUAAUUAAAACGAGCUGAAAUCGCUGUACAUCGAGAAAUAAUUUCAUAAUUUGAUAUUCUAUCUGGUUUUCUUUCUGAACAACAACGCACAAGGAGUUCCUCCUUCUCUCUCUUUUCUCCCAUUCUUCUUCUAAGGGAGAAUUCAACCGAAGAGCAUCGUAAAUCAAAUCUAGCCUCUUAUGACUGCUGGGAAUCCUUGGAAAAGUUCUCCCUAGGGCAUCAAGGAAAAGCAUGCUUUAUUUCUUUCGAGGUGAAGUUGAUCACACGUUCAUUUUAAUCUAAGAUACACUAUCCUCCACAAGUAUUCGGGCACUGACGAUAAUUAGAUUAUUGAUUCAUUGAUGAUUAACUUUAUCAAAGUGUGCAAAUUAAGGGCUGGAAGUAGCAUUAUCUUGUUAGGAAAUUGACAAAAUGUAAACUUAAAUUACGUUUAAUUUUCAUAUAUUGAGACACUUAACAGAAAAGUUUUAUAUGUAUAUUAUAUUGCUUAACUUAUUAUAUUGAUGUUACUAAUCUUCCUAUUAACUUAGAAGAACUUUCUCCAACUGAUACAUAGCGUAAAAAUUAAACAUCCUGAAGAUAAAUUUUAAAUUUUAAACAA